rnacentral:tRNA from 2 species
CUUACCUUAGUUUAAUUAGAAUGAUGGUUUUGGGGAUCUUUGGUCUUUGUUUAAAGAGGUUUGG